rnacentral:rRNA from 1 species
UACGGAAGGCAGCAGUGGGGAAUAUUGCACAAUGGGCGCAAGCCUGAUGCAGCCAUGCCGCGUGUAUGAAAAAGGCCUUCGGGUUGUAAAGUACUUUCAGUCGUGAGGAAGGUGUUAAGGUUAAUAACCUUAGCAAUUGACGUUAGCGACAGAAGAAGCACCGGCUAACUCCGUGCCAGCAGCCGCGGUAAUACGGAGGGUGCGAGCGUUAAUCGGAAUUACUGGGCGUAAAGGGCACGCAGGCGGUUAAUUAAGUUGGAUGUGAAAUCCCCGGGCUUAACCUGGGAAUGGCAUUCAAGACUGGUUAGCUAGAGUCUUGUAGAGGGGGUAGAAUUCCAUGUGUAGCGGUGAAAUGCGUAGAGAUGUGGAGGAAUACCGGUGGCGAAGGCGGCCCCUGGACAAAGACUGACGCUCAUGUGCGAAAGCGUGGGGAGCAAACGAGGGAUUU